GGUUAAGUUAUUAAGGGCGUAUGGUGGAUGCCUUGGCACUAGGAGCCGAUGAAGGACGUGACUAACUGCGAUAUGCUUCGGGGAGUUGUAAGUAAACUAUGAUCCGGAGAUUUCCGAAUGGGGAAACCUAACAGGUUUUACCGCCUGUUAUCACUAAGUGAAUUCAUAGCUUAGUUGAAGGUAGACGUGGGGAACUGAAACAUCUAAGUACCCACAGGAAGAGAAAGAAAUUCGAUUCCCUCAGUAGCGGCGAGCGAACCGGGAAGAGCCCAAACUAAGAAGCUUGCUUCUUAGGGUUGUAGGACUGAACAUUUGAGUUACCAAGAAAUGAAGUAGUUGAAUAAUCUGGGAAGAUUAGCCAAAGAGAGUGAUAGCCUCGUAAGCGAAACUUCGUUUCCUCAGUUCAGGAUCCUGAGUACGGCGGAACACGUGAAACUCCGUCGGAAUCCGGGAGGACCAUCUCCCAAGGCUAAAUACUACCUAGUGACCGAUAGUGAACCAGUACCGUGAGGGAAAGGUGAAAAGCACCCCGGGAGGGGAGUGAAAUAGUUCCUGAAACCAUAUGCCUACAAGUAGUCAGAGCUCGUUAAUGAGUGAUGGCGUGCCUUUUGUAGAAUGAACCGGCGAGUUACGUUAGCGUGCGAGGUUAAGGAGGAAAGUCCGGAGCCGUAGCGAAAGCGAGUCUGAAUAGGGCGAGAUAGUACGUUGACGUAGACCCGAAACCAGGUGACCUACCCAUGUCCAGGUUGAAGGUGCGGUAAAACGCACUGGAGGACCGAACCCGUGUAUGUUGAAAAAUGCUGGGAUGAGGUGUGGGUAGAGGUGAAAUUCCAAACGAACUUGGAGAUAGCUGGUUCUCUCCGAAAUAGCUUUAGGGCUAGCCUCGGAGUUAAGAAUCGUGGAGGUAGAGCACUGUUUGGACUAGGGGCCCGUCUUGGGUUACUGAAUUCAGAUAAACUCCGAAUGCCACAGAUUUAUAUCCGGGAGUCAGACUGCGAGUGAUAAGAUCCGUAGUCGAAAGGGAAACAGCCCAGACCACCGAUUAAGGUCCCAAAAUAUGUGUUAAGUGGAAAAGGAUGUGGAAUUGCAUAGACAACUAGGAUGUUGGCUUAGAAGCAGCCACCAUUUAAAGAGUGCGUAAUAGCUCACUAGUCGAGUGAUCCUGCGCCGAAAAUGUAACGGGGCUAAACACAUUACCGAAAUCGUGGAUGUACCGUAAGGUACAUGGUAGGAGAGCGUUCUAAGGACGGCGAAGCUAGACCGUAAGGACUGGUGGAGUGCUUAGAAGUGAGAAUGCCGGUAUGAGUAGCGAAAGAUCAGUGAGAAUCUGGUCCACCGUAUGACUAAGGUUUCCUGGGGAAGGCUCGUCCUCCCAGGGUUAGUCGGGACCUAAGCCGAGGCCGAGAGGCGUAGGCGAUGGAUAACAGGUUGAGAUUCCUGUACUGGUUAAACUUGUUUGAACAAUGGAGGGACGCAGGAGGCUAUCGAUGCGUACUGUUGGAUAUGUACGUUCAAGCAA
rnacentral:rRNA from 1 species